GACAGAGGGUGCUAGCGUUGUUCGGAAUUACUGGGCGUAAAGGGCGCGUAGGCGGUCUGUUAAGUUCGGUGUGAAAGCCCCUGGCUCAACUGGGGAACUGCGCUGGAAACUGGCAGACUCGAGUACCGGAGAGGAGAGUGGAAUUCCUGGUGUAGCGGUGAAAUGCGUAGAUAUCAGGAGGAACACCGGUGGCGAAGGCGGCUCUCUGGACGGAUACUGACGCUGAGGCGCGAAAGCGUGGGGAUCAAACAGG
rnacentral:rRNA from 1 species